CAAAGGCCAGUAAAUAAGAAAAAUAAAUAAAUAAGUUAGAUUAUAGUUUUUUUUUUUUUAUGCCAGCCAAUUUAUCGUCAAGUGAUCGAACGGUUUAUUCAAAAUUUCAAAAUGGCUCAAUAUGGUUAUUUACUUAAUUUGUAUCACAAAUUUUGCCUCUUUUCCAGUACCCUGAGAGCAAAAACCAGAAUUUCGAUCAUAAAAACUCUUGUUACAUAACAAAAUUCUCCCUUUAGUAUUCUUCCAAUUCAGAAAACCAUGCAAUUCAAUGGACCUUCUCUGAAAAAAUUCUCUUUUUCCCCCUUUUUUAGCCAGCAA
rnacentral:lncRNA from 1 species